GAGUUUGAUCGUGGCUCAGGAUGAGCGCUGGCGGCGUGCCUAAUACAUGCAAGUCGAGCGAACAGACGGGGAGCUUGCUCCCCUGACGUUAGCGGCGGACGGGUGAGUAACACGUGGGUAACCUACCUAUAAGACUGGAAUAACUCCGGGAAACCGGGGCUAAUGCCGGAUAACAUGUUGGACCGCAUGGUCCUACAGUGAAAGACGGUCUUGCUGUCACUUAUAGGUGGACCCGCGCCGUAUUAGCUAGUUGGUAAGGUAACGGCUUACCAAGGCAACGAUACGUAGCCGACCUGAGAGGGUGAUCGGCCACACUGGAACUGAGACACGGUCCAGACUCCUACGGGAGGCAGCAGUAGGGAAUCUUCCGCAAUGGGCGAAAGCCUGACGGAGCAACGCCGCGUGAGUGAUGAAGGCCUUGGUCGUAAACUCUGUUAUUAGGAAGAACAAAUAGUGUAAGUAACUAUGCACGUCUUGACGGUACCUAAU
rnacentral:rRNA from 1 species